rnacentral:lncRNA from 1 species
CCAAAAUUCUUAUAGAUUCAGUCAAUACACCAAUAGUCAAUUAGAAAAUUUCUUAAAUUUCAGUCAAUCAAUUCGUAUAACAAGUAAAGAUAAUUGUGAAUCGAUAAAGUUCUUUCUAAAUUUUUCCGUUUCAAAAGCCCUAAAAAAUUUCAAAAUGUAAUAUAGAAAAUGCCAACCCGGAAACAAUAAAACCCUUCAUCAAUUUAACAUUAGUCCACAAAAUUGAAAGCCAAAAAACCUCCAUUAAUCAUCGUCACGCUUCUUAGGCUUGCGGUAAUUUUCUUCAAUAUGUUUGGCAAUCUAGAGGCUGGUGUUGAACAGCUUCCGGAUGUUGGGGACGUCGUAAUUCUGAGCCACAUAAACUCCUACUGCUGAGCCCAUCAUGAAUGAGAAGCAACUUCUUAUAAUUCCCAUCCUCCCCUUUUUUCAGAUCUCUUCGAUUUCUAAUAAGAUUCAAACUUUAACUGGUAAUCUGGUAAUUUGGAUAUGGGGUUUUUUGGUACGUUUUUAAAUAAACAGGGGGCCGGAUUAGUUCAGGUCUUUGCGGGAAGGGAAAAGCUGUUCGAAUAGGGCGUCACCUUUAUUGUCCCGACGUGACCCAGUUCAUCUAGCAAAACCCGUGCCUGAAGUAGUGGAGUUAAUAAUCCGACGAGCCGGCUUGGCUUGAUCCCCCGCCAGUUCGUAUUUGCUUUGAACGACUUAAACAAGAUCAGCUCAUUUCAAAAUGGAUUAUAUUACCCCCCACAAAAUGUUAUAUCCACGGUACAAAAGAGAUGGCAACUGAACGACUAGGAAUCGAAGCAACCGCUCCCGCCCUCCAUCCCGUCCGAUAAUAUUUCGCCUCGCUAUCCGGUUAAGGCAGGAAGUGG